rnacentral:rRNA from 1 species
UACGAAGGGUGCAAGCGUUACUCGGAAUUACUGGGCGUAAAGCGUGCGUAGGUGGUGAGUUAAGUCUGUCGUGAAAGCCCCGGGCUCAACCUGGGAAUGGCGAUGGAUACUGGCUCGCUAGAGUGCGGUAGAGGAGAGUGGAAUUCCCGGUGUAGCAGUGAAAUGCGUAGAGAUGCGGAGGAACACCGAUGGCGAAGGCAGCCCCCUGGGCUAGCACUGACGCUCAGGCACGAAAGCGUGGGGAGCAAACAGG